rnacentral:rRNA from 1 species
UGCAGUCGAGGGAGUAUAUGUCUUCGGAUAUAGAGACCGGCGCACGGGUGCGUAACGCGUAUGCAAUCUGCCUUUCACAGAGGGAUAGCCCAGAGAAAUUUGGAUUAAUACCUCAUAGUAUAAUCAAGCCGCAUGGUUUAAUUAUUAAAGUCACAACGGUGAAAGAUGAGCAUGCGUCCCAUUAGCUAGUUGGUAAGGUAACGGCUUACCAAGGCAACGAUGGGUAGGGGUCCUGAGAGGGAGAUCCCCCACACUGGUACUGAGACACGGACCAGACUCCUACGGGAGGCAGCAGUGAGGAAUAUUGGACAAUGGGCGCAAGCCUGAUCCAGCCAUGCCGCGUGCAGGAUGACGGUCCUAUGGAUUGUAAACUGCUUUUGUACGAGAAGAAACAUCCCGACGUGUCGGGACUUGACGGUAUCGUAAGAAUAAGGAUCGGCUAACUCCGUGCCAGCAGCCGCGGUAAUACGGAGGAUCCAAGCGUUAUCCGGAAUCAUUGGGUUUAAAGGGUCCGUAGGCGGUUUAGUAAGUCAGUGGUGAAAGCCCAUCGCUCAACGGUGGAACGGCCAUUGAUACUGCUGAACUUGAAUUAUUAGGAAGUAACUAGAAUAUGUAGUGUAGCGGUGAAAUGCUUAGAUAUUACAUGGAAUACCAAUUGCGAAGGCAGGUUACUACUAAUGGAUUGACGCUGAUGGACGAAAGCGUGGGGAGCGAACAGGAUUAGAUACCCUGGUAGUCCACGCCGUAAACGAUGGAUACUAGCUGUUGGGGGCAACUUCAGUGGCUAAGCGAAAGUGAUAAGUAUCCC